UAAAGCACUUGGCUUACACCCAAGAGAUUUCAUAUAACUGACCACUCUGAGCCAACGCUAGCCCUAUAUAAUUCCAUUAAACCAUAAAAAUUUAUUAAACUAAAACAUUCACCUUAUAUUUAAAGUAUAGGAGAUAGAAAUUUAUUUCAGGCGCCAUAGAAAAAGUACCGUAAGGGAAAGAUGAAAGAAUUAUUGACAGCAUAAGAAAGCAGAGAUUAACACUCUUACCUUUUGCAUAAUGAGUUAGCCAGAAGAUCUUUAGCAAAAAGAAUUUUAGUUAAAAACCCCGAAACCAGACGAGCUAUCUACGAGCAGUUGCUAGAACGUACCCGUCCAUGUUGCAAAAUGGUGGGAAGACUUAUAGAUAGAGGUGAAAAGCCA
rnacentral:rRNA from 1 species